CUUUAUAAUAUAUUUUAAGAUGGUAAGGACGUGAAGAAAACAGGUUUGUAAAUGAUGUUGUACAUCAUGCAGAUAGCUCAGAAGAAGAAGCAGGAAUGUUUGACUGGAAAUAUAAACGAUGUUGUACAUAAUGCAGAUAGCUUAGGCAAAAAAGAGAUUGGUGAAAUGGAGAAUGAGACUAACUACAGUGAAA
rnacentral:lncRNA from 1 species